CCUACGGGAGGCAGCAGUGGGGGAUAUUGCACAAUGGGGGGAACCCUGAUGCAGCGACGCCGCGUGAGUGAAGAAGUAAUUCGUUACGUAAAGCUCUAUCAGCAGGGAAGAAUAAAUGACGGUCCCUGAGUAAGAAGCUCCGGCUAACUACGUGACAGCAGCCGCGGUAAUACGGAGGGUGCAAGCGUUAUCCGGCUUUACUGGGUGUAAAGGGUGGGUAGGCGGCGUGGCAAGCCAGAGGUGAAAGCCCGCGGCUCAACUGCGGUAGUGCAUUUGGAACUGUAUGGCUGGAGUGCAGGAGAGGCAGGCGGAAUUCCAGGUGUAGCAGUGAAAUGCGUAGAUAUUAGGAGGAACACCAGUGGCGAAGGCGGCCUGCUGGACUGUAACUGACGUUGAGGCUCGAAAGCGUGGGGAGCAAACAGGAUUAGAUACCCGAGUAGUC
rnacentral:rRNA from 1 species